GGCUUCAAAUGCUCAAACAAUGGAUAAUAAUGCCAUCAAUCUCAUUUUGGCUCGCCUUGAAACUAUGUCCCGAGAUAUGGCUAGGUUGAAUGUGGGUCUUGAGAAAUUAGAUACGGAUGUGGCAUCAAUGAGUGGGAGAUUAGAACAUGUGGAAAGCCAAAGGAUGAACCUUCUACCCCUCAAAACAUUUUCCCAACUAAUACUCCCGAGACCUUGCACCAAAUGCAAUAUACACCAAUUGCCAUAAAUCAAACCAAUCUUUACUCCCGAAGC
rnacentral:lncRNA from 1 species